rnacentral:lncRNA from 1 species
GCGGCCGCGUCCCCGCCUCGGCUCAUCUCCUCCGGAGUGAAGCCGUUCAUGUCUGCCAGUUCGGGGGCGCCGGCGCCGCUACAGAGCCCCGCUCGCCGCGCCGCUCCGCCUCCUUCCCCUGGGCGGCCGUUCACUCCGCACCCCAAGUCUGGUGGCGGCACGGUCCGACGCCCAGAGUCCAGGGCCGGCCGGUCUGUCGGUGCUGGAAUAGCUACCAGGUCCUGUGACUGUGAUCAGGAGUGAAGUGGCGCCUAGAAAGGAGACCCCACUCACUGUCACAUGGAGACUUCAGCAGUUGGACCGCAGCUCCUCCGCCUCCUUCUCAACCCCAGAACCUGCGCGAGGGAGACGCCCCUCCUCUGGCCCCGCCCCACACCUGCCGCGCGGCCCCACGGGAAUGGAAUUUCCUCCAGUAUUUUCAUAGCAACCUUCAGAUGAAAGUGUAGAACUCUCAGCUCCUCCUGCAUCAUGACUGCCUGGGGCUGCCAUGUUCCUGCCUUGAUGAUAAUGGACUGAACCUCUAAACCU